AUUGAACGCUGGCGGCAUGCCUUACACAUGCAAGUCGAACGGUAACAGGUCUUCGGAUGCUGACGAGUGGCGAACGGGUGAGUAAUACAUCGGAACGUGCCUAGUAGUGGGGAUAACUACUCGAAAGAGUGGCUAAUACCGCAUGAGAUCUACGGAUGAAAGCAGGGGAUCGCAAGACCUUGUGCUACUAGAGCGGCCGAUGGCAGAUUAGGUAGUUGGUGGGAAAAAAGCUUACCAAGCCGACGAUCUGUAGCUGGUCUGAGAGGACGAUCAGCCACACUGGGACUGAGACACGGCCCAGACUCCUACGGGAGGCAGCAGUGGGGAAUUUUGGACAAUGGGCGCAAGCCUGAUCCAGCAUGCCGCGUGCAGGAUGAAGGCCUUCGGGUUGUAAACUGCUUUUGUACGGAACGAAAAGCCCUGGGUUAAUACCCUGGGGUCAUGACGGUACCGUAAGAAUAAGCACCGGCUAACUACGUGCCAGCCGCCGCGGUAA
rnacentral:rRNA from 1 species